GGCUCAUAAAUGAUGAUGUGAGAGUAGUGGACAGAAGGGAUCUCCAAAAAACUAUUCUGAGGCU